rnacentral:rRNA from 1 species
UCCAGAGACUGCAAGCGUUAUUCGGAUUCACUGGGCGUAAAGGGCGCGCAGGCGGCGCUUCAAGUCAGGCGUGAAAGCCCCGGGCUUAACCUGGGAAUUGCGCUUGGGACUGGAGGGCUUGAGUACGGGAGAGGAGAGUGGAAUUCCCAGUGUAGAGGUGAAAUUCGUAGAUAUUGGGAAGAACCCCGGUGGCGAAGGCGGCUCUCUGGACCGUAACUGACGCUGAGGCGCGAAAGCGUGGGGAGCAAACAGG